rnacentral:rRNA from 1 species
UACGAAGGGGGCGAGCGUUGUUCGGAUUUACUGGGCGUAAAGGGCGCGUAGGCGGCGGGUCAAGUCGAGUGUGAAAGCCCCGGGCUCAACCUGGGAAUUGCGCUCGAGACUGGUCUGCUUGAGUUCGGGAGAGGAGAGUGGAAUUUCCGGUGUAGCGGUGAAAUGCGUAGAUAUCGGAAGGAACAUCAGUGGCGAAAGCGACUUCCUGGACCAGUACCGACGUUCAGGCACGAAAGCGUGGGGAGCAAACAGG